GGAAGAUGAUGCUGUCAACACACAACAUCUUCUGACCCUGUCUGCCAAGUUUCUUCAAAGGCCAGAUAAUCCCACACUCCUGCAAGAAUGGGCAUCCUACAAGCAUCUGCUGACUGGAGCCUUCAAGAAUAUGGACCAGGUCAGCAUAAUGUCAAAAAUGGCAUUCCAGAAUGAUGAAUGGGGACAACUGUACCCAUGCAGGAGCCAGCUAUCAGCCAUUGCUUUGACGGUGCCCAUAUCAUCUGUGAACUGUGAAGACAGACCUGAGGAACAGGCUGCAGGGGGACCAUCUGUCAGCAUGCCUCCUACUCAGCAUCAAUGGGCCACCUCUGGCUGAGUUCCCAUAUCACAGAGCAUUAGAA